rnacentral:misc_RNA from 1 species
GAUGAAGAACGCAGCGAAACGCGAUAAGUAAUGUGAAUUGCAGAAUCCAGUGAAUCAUCGAAUCUUUGAACGCACAUUGCGCCCGCCAGCAUUCUGGCGGGCAUGCCUGUUCGAGCGUCAUUUCAACCCUCGACCUCCCCUUGGGGAGGUCGGCGUUGGGGACCGGCAGCACACCGCCGUCCCUGAAAUGGAGUGGCGGCCCGUCCGCGGCGACCUCUGCGCAGUAAUACAGCUCGCACCGGGACCCCGACGCGGCCACGCCGUAAAACACCCAACUUCUGAACGUUGACCUCGAAUCAGGUAGGACUACCCGCUGAACUUAAGCAUAUCAAUAAGCGGAGGA